rnacentral:rRNA from 1 species
GAUGAACGCUGGCAGAAUGCUUAACACAUGCAAGUCAACUUGAACUUCGGUUUGGGUGGCGGACGGGUGAGUAACGCGUAAAGAACUUGCCUCACAGAUAGGGACAACAUUUGGAAACGAAUGCUAAUACCUGAUAUUAUGAUUAUAUGGCAUCGUAUAAUUAUGAAAGCUAUAUGCGCUGUGAGAGAGCUUUGCGUCCCAUUAGCUAGUUGGAGAGGUAACGGCUCACCAAGGCGAUGAUGGGUAGCCGGCCUGAGAGGGUGAUCGGCCACAAGGGGACUGAGACACGGCCCUUACGCCUACGGGAGGCAGCAGUGGGGAAUAUUGGACAAUGGACCAAGAGUCUGAUGCAGCAAUUCUGUGUGCACGAUGAAGUUUUUCGGAAUGUAAAGUGCUUUCAGUUGGGAAGAAAAAAAUGACGGUACCAACAGAAGAAGUGACGGCUAAAUACGUG